rnacentral:rRNA from 1 species
AUUGAACGCUGGCGGCAGGCCUAACACAUGCGAGUCGAGCGGAUGAAGGGAGCUUGCUCCUGGAUUCAGCGGCGGACGGGUGAGUAAUGCCUAGGAAGCUGCCUGGUAGUGGGGGAUAACGUCAGGAAAGGGGCGCUAAGACAGCAUACGUCCUGAGGGAGAAAGGGGGGGAUCUUCGGACAUAAAGCUAUUAGAUGAGCCUAGUCCGGAUUAGCUAGUUGGUGGGGUAAAGGCCUACCAAGGCGACGAUCCGUAACUGGUCUGAGAGGAUGAUCAGUCACACUGGAACUGAGACACGGUCCAGACUCCUACGGGAGGCAGCAGUGGGGAAUCUUGCACAAUGGGCGAAAGCCUGAUCCAGCCAUGCCGCGUGUGUGAAGAAGGUCUUCGGAUUGUAAAGCACUUUAAGUUGGGAGGAAGGUCAGUAAGUUAAUACCUUGCUGUUUUGACGUUACCAACACAAUAAGCCCCGGCUAACUUCGUG